GAUGAAGAACGCAGCGAAAUGCGAUAAGUAAUGCGAAUUGCAGAAUUCCAGUGAGUCAUCGAAUCUUUGAACGCACAUUGCGCCCUUUGGUAUUCCGAAGGGCAUGCCUGUUCGAGCGUCAUUAUCACCCCUCAAGCCCUCGGCUUGGUGUUGGACGGUUUGGUGGAGGCCCCCUCGGGGGCUCCUGCCCCUCCCAAAGACAAUGACGGCGGCCUCGUUGGACCCCCGGUACACUGAGUUCUUCACGGGUCACGUAUCGGACACAUGGGUUUACGGGACACGGUCUGCCUCCCCUCAGGGAGAAUCUUUCUAAGGUUGACCUCGGAUCAGGUAGGGAUACCCGCUGAACUUAAGCAUAUCAAUAAGCGGAGGA
rnacentral:misc_RNA from 1 species